rnacentral:rRNA from 1 species
AGAUUGAACGCUAGCGGGAUGCUUUACACAUGCAAGUCGAACGGCAGCGCGGACUUCGGUCUGGCGGCGAGUGGCGAACGGGUGAGUAAUAUAUCGGAACGUGCCCAGUAGCGGGGGAUAACUACGCGAAAGCGUGGCUAAUACCGCAUACGCCCUACGGGGGAAAGGGGGGAUCGCAAGACCUCUCACUAUUGGAGCGGCCGAUAUCAGAUUAGCUAGUUGGUGAGGUAAAGGCUCACCAAGGCGACGAUCUGUAGCUGGUUUGAGAGGACGACCAGCCACACUGGGACUGAGACACGGCCCAGACUCCUACGGGAGGCAGCAGUGGGAAUUUGGACAAUGGGGGAAACCUGAUCCAGCCAUCCCGCGUGUGCGAUGAAGGCCUUCGGGUUGUAAAGCACUUUUGCAGGAAGAACGGCGUUAGACUAAUAUUCAGCGUCACUGACGUACUGCAGAAUAAGACACCGGCUAACUACGUGCCAGCAGCCG